GCUAUUUUAGUUUAUAUAAAAUGUCUAAUUUGUAAUUAGAAGAAUUUUUAGCAACU
rnacentral:tRNA from 1 species